AGCGAGCAGUCUCAACGGAAAGUGACGCAUGUUUACGGAGUUCAUUUGGGGUGUUUGUGGACAUUGUGUAUGGGGAGAACGUGAGUGGUAUUUAUUAAGAAAGAA